GGGGAAUAUUGCACAAUGGGCGAAAGCCUGAUGCAGCAACGCCGCGUGAGCGAUGAAGGCCUUCGGGUCGUAAAGCUCUGUCCUUGGGGAAGAAAAAAAUGACGGUACCCUUGGAGGAAGCCCCGGCUAACUACGUGCCAGCAGCCGCGGUAAUACGUAGGGGGCGAGCGUUAUCCGGAAUUAUUGGGCGUAAAGAGUGCGUAGGUGGUUUCCUAAGCGCGAGGUUUAAGGCAAUAGCUUAACUAUUGUUCGCCUUGCGAACUGGGUUACUUGAGUGCAGGAGAGGAAAGUGGAAUUCCUAGUGUAGCGGUGAAAUGCGUAGAUAUUAGGAGGAACACCAGUGGCGAAGGCGACUUUCUGGACUGUUACUGACACUGAGGCACGAAAGCGUGGGGAGCAAAC
rnacentral:rRNA from 1 species